AUGACCGCUGCCUCUGUUGGGGUGUCCCCGGGUGCAUGCUCCACGCCGUCCUCGGCGGCAAUGAGCCGCCGUUCGAGUACUCAGUGCCCAUGUUCUCCCGCCAGAGCGACAACUCUUGGCCGCCGAGGCGCAUGGCGGACGCCUCCUCCUCCUCAUCCCGCUCCUCCGACACAGUGCCGCUCGCCACCAUCAAGGCCGAGCCCCUGGAGAUGCCGGAGCGUCGGCUGA
rnacentral:rRNA from 1 species